rnacentral:rRNA from 1 species
UGGGGAAUAUUGGGCAAUGGGCGCAAGCCUGACCCAGCAAUGCCGCGUGAAGGAAGAAGGCCCUCGGGUUGUAAACUUCUUUUAUCAGGGACGAAGGAUGUGACGGUACCUGAUGAAUAAGCUCCGGCUAACUACGUGCCAGCAGCCGCGGUAAUACGUAGGGAGCAAGCGUUAUCCGGAUUUACUGGGUGUAAAGGGCGCGUAGGCGGGAUGGCAAGUCAGAUGUGAAAUCCAGGGGCUCAACCCCUGAACUGCAUUUGAAACUGUCGUUCUUGAGUACUGGAGAGGUUGACGGAAUUCCUAGUGUAGCGGUGAAAUGCGUAGAUAUUAGGAGGAACACCAGUGGCGAAGGCGGUCAACUGGACAGCAACUGACGCUGAGGCGCGAAAGCGUGGGGAGC